UGCCGUCCUAGCUCAGUUGGUAGAGCACUCGGCUGUUAACCGAACGGUCGCCGGUUCGAGUCCGGCGGACGGCGU
rnacentral:tRNA from 1 species